UCUUCCGUGGCGCAAUCGGUGGCGCGUCUGACUGUUAAUUACGUCAGCACCAGCUGGAAAACGUAAGCAGUAACAUCAGAAGGUCAACAGUUCGACCCUGUUCGGAAGAG